rnacentral:lncRNA from 1 species
CAGCACGACUUUUUUCUACACACUAUCAUAAUUUUUUUACUCUAGUCUUAACUCUUCAAACCUAUUGCUACUCUUGCUCAGUGUCUGCCUCAUGAUCUUGUUGCUAUUCUUGCUGGCCCCUCAUACAUUAGUUGCUUGCUUAAAGCACUUGUUCCACCCUUUGCCUAGCUUGCUUAGAAUACUUAUUUAGAAUACUUGAUCUAGCCCAGCUCUACCCUAGUUUGCUCCCUACUACGCCCCGAGUUGUCGCUGAGUUGCCGCGAAACUACUGCUGAGCUGCCUUCAAACUGCCGCUAAGCUACCGCCAAACUACCACCAAAUUGUUGUCAAACUACUGCCAAAUUGUCGCCAAACUCGCUGCUGCCACCCUAUUGCCAUUGAUGUUGUCACUAA